CGCUUCUCAGUAUUCUGGCUAAGAUCAAGUGUA
rnacentral:snRNA from 1 species